rnacentral:rRNA from 1 species
UGCAUGUCUAANUAUAANCGAUCUUAUACCGCGAAACUGCGAGUGGCUCUUUAUAUCUUUUAUAUUCUACUUGAUCGUAUCUUCUUACAUGGAUAACCGUAGUAAUUCUAGAGCUAAUACAUGCUAAAAAUCCCGGACGCGGCAACGCGGAAGGGACUAUUUUAUUACAUUAAAAACCGACACCUCUCCGCGAGGGGAGGUAGCACAGGUGAUUCACAGUAACCGAUCGGAUCGUCGGCCCCGCCGACGACGAGGCAUACGAGUUUCUGCCCUAUCAACUUUAGAUGGACUAGUAUCGGUCUACCAUGGUCGUAACAGGUGACGGGGGAUUAGGGUUAGAUUCCGGAAAAGGAGCCUGANAAACCGCUACCACGUCCAAGGAAGGCAGCUUGCCCGCAAAUUACCCAGUCCCGACACGGGGAGGUAGUGACAACAAGUACCAUUGUAAUGUCUCCACGAGAGGCUUACAAUUGGAAUGAGUACUAUUUAAAUCCCUUAGCGAGUAACGAUUGGAGGGCAAGUCUGGUGCCANCACCCCCGGUAAUUCCAACUCCAAUAUCGUAUAUUAUAGUUGUUGCANUUAAAAAUCUCGUAGUUGGAUUUCAGAGGGUCCUUANCAAUCCGCCCCUUCAGGGACCGNGUUGCUGGCCUCCUAUGUGCCUAACGGUCCUCGUCCGCGAGGGCGGGGAAUCGACCGCUANGAUCGUUUACUUUGANGAAAUUANAGUGUUCAAAGCANGCGUAUCUCNCCUCCNAAUACGUUAGCAUGNGAUAANGGAANACCACUUCNGUCUUGUUUCGUUGGUUUCGCUUGGCUGAGGUAAUGAUUGAUAGGGACAGUUGGNGGCAUNNUAUUUNNNNGNCNNANNUGANAUNCUNNNNNUACUAAAGACUGACCAAUGCGANAGCAUUUGCCNCNGAUGUUUUCNUUANNCANAACUAANGUAGGGGAUCGAU